rnacentral:rRNA from 1 species
UACGUAGGUGGCAAGCGUUGUCCAGAUUUACUGGGCGUAAAGGGCGCGUAGGCGGCGUGGUAAGUCACUUGUGAAAUCUCUGAGCUUAACUCAGAACGGCCAAGUGAUACUGCUGUGCUAGAGUGCAGAAGGGGCAAUCGGAAUUCUUGGUGUAGCGGUGAAAUGCGUAGAUAUCAAGAGGAACACCUGAGGUGAAGACGGGUUGCUGGGCUGACACUGACGCUGAGGCGCGAAAGCCAGGGGAGCAAACGGG